AUUUAGCCCAGCCAGGUUGGCAAAAGCAGGCACUGAGGACCUCGGGAGCAUAGAGGAGCAACAACCAGCCCAGCCUGGAGGCACCAGCAGGGAAGAGCCUUUCCAGACAAGAGGGCUCCCGAGCUGCGUGAAGUGGAGGAGAAACACUUGACCCUGUGAUGCAACGCUGUAAGUAGGUGGGCAAGCUACAUGAAAAGGGAGAUCUUUUCACCUCUGCCAGCCCAUAGACCACACUAGUCCGUGACUUAACAGGACAUGUGUUGGAUAAAGCAAAACGUGUUGCUGGCGCAUCAUAGAGUCCAUGCUGUGGUCAGAAGCAAUAGGCUGGACGUGCACACAGCAACACGGAUAGAUUUUAUGAACAUAACACCGGGUGACAAAAGGAAGACACACAGUAGGACCUGU
rnacentral:lncRNA from 10 species